AGUGAACGCUGGCGGUAGGCCUAACACAUGCAAGUCGAACGGCAGCACAGUAAGAGCUUGCUCUUACGGGUGGCGAGUGGCGGACGGGUGAGGAAUACAUCGGAAUCUACUUUUUCGUGGGGGCUAACGUAGGGAAACUUACGCUAAUACCGCAUACGACCUACGGGUGAAAGCAGGGGAUCUUCGGACCUUGCGCGAUUGAAUGAGCCGAUGUCGGAUUAGCUAGUUGGCGGGGUGAAGGCCCACCAAGGCGACGAUCCGUAGCUGGUCUGAGAGGAUGAUCAGCCAGACUGGAACUGAGACACGGUCCAGACUCCUACGGGAGGCAGCAGUGGGGAAUAUUGGACAAUGGGCGCAAGCCUGAUCCAGCCAUACCGCGUGGGUGAAGAAGGCCUUCGGGUUGUAAAGCCCUUUUGUUGGGAAAGAAAAGCAGCAGGUUAAUACCCCGCUGUUCUGACGGUACCCAAAGAAUAAGCACCGGCUAACUUCGUG
rnacentral:rRNA from 1 species